GCAGGACACUACAGCUGUGCCUCACAGACAGUACAGUCAUGGAAUACAAAGCCUUGGACCUAACAGGUCAGGCUUUUAGUAGCAGAAGAGCUCAGAAUUUCUCGGAUUCCAGUUUUGUAAAGAUAGAAGGUAAAGUCCAAAUUGUAUUUGUCAGCGCUGUGCAAGAGUGGAGUACUGAAAAGAUUUUGGAAGAAAUCAGCCAAACAUGAAAUGCCUUGGAAUUUUCUUACCAAGAGCAUAAAAGAACAGAAAUUUCUUUAUUAAGGUCCAAUGAACAGCUGCUUGAAACUUAAGAUAAUAACGAAUAAAGAAAAUGUGAUGGAAGCUACAAGAAAGGCCAAGGUGUAUGAAAGCUUUGAAGCUCUGCAGCAGAGGGUGGAGUCUUUGUUGCUACACCUUGAGGAGACUGUACACGAUGCAGUACAUCUCUGCUCCAUGCAGGCAGAGAGAACAGUGAGUUUUUUAUCACCCAGCCAAGGCUUCACAAAGCUGAUGGGUUUUAGAUGUAGAAAUGGCAUCUGGUAGACUGAAGGAGAGCUUGGCAAC
rnacentral:lncRNA from 12 species